rnacentral:piRNA from 1 species
UUUGCAUUGGAAAGGUAAACU